GCCAGGGGGGCACAGUGGUUAGCACUGCUUCUUCUCAAUAAGGAGGUUCCAGGUUUGAGCCCCGGCUGGCC